GAUGAAGAACGUAGCGAAAUGCGAUAAGUAAUGUGAAUUGCAGAAUUCAGUGAAUCAUCGAAUCUUUGAACGCACAUUGCGCCCGCCAGUAUUCUGGCGGGCAUGCCUGUUCGAGCGUCAUUACAACCCUCAGGCCCCCGGGCCUGGCGUUGGGGAUCGGCGGAAGCCCCCUGCGGGCACAACGCCGUCCCCCAAAUACAGUGGCGGUCCCGCCGCAGCUUCCAUCGCGUAGUAGCUAACACCUCGCGACUGGAGAGCGGCGCGGCCACGCCGUAAAACACCCAACUCUUCUGAAGUUGACCUCGAAUCAGGUAGGAAUACCCGCUGAACUUAAGCAUAUCAAUAAGCGGAGGA
rnacentral:misc_RNA from 1 species